rnacentral:rRNA from 1 species
UCCCAGACUCCUACGGGAGGCAGCAGUGGGGAAUAUUGCACAAUGGGGGAAACCCUGAUGCAGCAACGCCGCGUGAGUGAAGAAGUAUUUCGGUAUGUAAAGCUCUAUCAGCAGGGAAGAAAAUGACGGUACCUGAGUAAGAAGCCCCGGCUAACUACGUGCCAGCAGCCGCGGUAAUACGUAGGGGCAAGCGUUAUCCGGAUUUACUGGGUGUAAAGGGGGCGCAGACGGCGAUGCAAGCCAGGAGUGAAAGCCCGGGGCCCAACCCCGGGGCUGCUCUUGGAACUGUGUGGCUGGAGUGUCGGAGAGGCAGGCGGAAUUCCUAGUGUAGCGGUGAAAUGCGUAGAUAUUAGGAGGAACACCAGUGGCGAAGGCGGCCUGCUGGACGAUGACUGACGUUGAGGCUCGAAAGCGUGGGGAGCAAACAGGAUUAGAUACCCCUGUA